rnacentral:rRNA from 1 species
GACAGGAGGGUGCAAACGUUUGUUUCGGGAAUUACUGGGCGUAAAGCGCGUGUAGGCAGCUCGGAAAGUCGGGUGUGAAAAGCCCUGGGCUUAACCUAGGAAGUGCACUCGAAAACUUCCGAGCUUGAGUUCUGGAGAGGAAGGCGGAAUUCUCGGUGUAGAGGUGAAAUUCGUAGAUAUCGAGAGGAACACCGGUGGCGAAGG